UAUUUGCCUUAGUAAGAACUGCUAACUAUA
rnacentral:piRNA from 1 species